GAUGAAGAACGUAGCGAAAUGCGAUAAGUAGUGCGAAUUGCAGAAUUCAGUGAAUCAUCGAAUCUUUGAACGCACAUUGCGGCCAUAGGUAUUCCUUUGGCCAUGCCUGUUCGAGCGUCAUUUACACCCUCAAGCCUAGCUUGGUGUUGGGCGUCUGUCCCGCCGUUCUCGCGCGCGGACUCGCCUCAAAGUCAUUGGCGGCGGUCGUGCCGGCCCCCUCGCGCAGCACAUUUGCGCUUCUCGGAGGCCCGGCGGAUCCGCGCUCCAGCAAGACCUUUCACGACUUGACCUCGGAUCAGGUAGGGAUACCCGCUGAACUUAAGCAUAUCAAUAAGCGGAGGA
rnacentral:misc_RNA from 1 species